rnacentral:lncRNA from 1 species
GUUAUUUGGUACUGUCCAGAAGUGAUGAAAGUAGUAUUCCUUAUCUAUUCUCUACUGCCAUUUAAUUUGGAGAAACACUGAUGAAGGCUUUCUAUAAAUAUUUCCAUUUAUACUUUACAACAUUAAAAAUAUUUUCAAUGAGCUUUUCAGAUGAGUUGAUAAAUGAAACAUUCCAUCUGUGAUGGUUAAUUUUUAGAUGUCUACUUGACUGGAUUAAGGGGUACCCAGAGAUGAUAAAGCAUUGUUUCUGGGUAUAUCUGUGAGGGUAUUUCUGGAAGAGGCUGACAUUUGAAGAUCUGCCCUCAUCCAAUGUGAGUGGGCAACAUCCAUACUGCUGAGGGCCCAGAUAGAACUAAAAAGAAGGAAAAUUGGGUUUGACAGCUUCUGAAAGGCAAGGAUAAAAUAAAAGAAGAUUUUCCUACUGUGACUGGGGAAGUCACAAAUGGUAUGUGAACUCUGGAAUGGAAAUAGCACUACUAUUAAUACAGUCCAGGAAGCGAGAGAGACCCCAGGAAAGGCCUCCUGAGCAUUACUGAACAGAGGCUUAGCAGUAAGUCUCUAGGAGGACCAACAUUUUAAUUUUAACCUUGAAGGAAAAUCAGAGAAGUCACACAGGCUCUAUCUCCUCCCAUUCCCCACUUUUAACUGUGGCAUGAAAUAAACCUGAGGACAGUAGGAAUUAUUUGAUUUGGCUGGCUUGUUUUUGUUUUUAAAUUUUAUAUUAAUUUAUAUGUUUUAAGUACUAUAUAUACUCUGCUGUUGAUCCCAAACUCACUUUUCUUGUAUCGUACUUGGCCCAAUUAUGUUACCUUCCUGGUUCGUGCAGACAUUUCAGAUAGAGACCCUUGGUCUACUAAUGGGGUUAAGUGAAGAAUAAUGCAGACUAGGAGAAAUAAUACCUUGGGACCUGAAUCUGCACAAAUACUGGCAGAACAAAGGUAAAAUCGGGUGAAACUAAUUUGGCCUAUUUAAUAGUUUUGCUGAGGCCUACGCAGAGCUAUCUCUUCUAUCUGCUACAUAAAAUUGUUUCCUGUUCUAUUCACUCAAAUUCCAAAAAAGUCACAAACAAAGAGAAAAAACAAACUGCUGAUUGGCUUCUAAAACCUUCCAGAUGAAAAGGCUGGAAAGUGAUGUGUAUCUAUACUUACACGAUGAAGCCUCAUGUGGAAGAUAUUAAAAAGUGAAAAUGCUAUCUUGGGCCAGACCGUCAUAUCGUAAGCCCAGUUCUCUGCCACUGAUUUCAACAGCUGUAGGGAAGAGAUUUUACCUUUAGAGUAAUAAAAUCUUAGCCUUGGGAGGGAAAUAGAUUUUAUAAAUGGGGAAACCAAGUGAGUAAUUAUUUCCCAGGUCUCACGAAUUGUGGCAAAUGGCAGUAUAAGAACAAAAACCCUGCUUGCCAAACUUCUAGUUGCUCUUUUCACUGUACAAUAGAUGAUGGAAACAUAAUAGUUUGGCUCAAUUAAUUCCAAUUCUUGGUCUAUAUGAGCUAUAGUUACCAGGAGUUCUUACUUGAUUUCUUCCUGAGAGAAGUUUCUAGACUUUGGAAUUCUGGGCAGAUGUAUGUACAUAUAAUAAAGAUUUAACUUUAACUAACACUUAGGUUCACAGGAAAAGUGAAAUGGAAAUUUCACCUUGUCAUUUGAGCAAUUUAGGGAAAAAUGAAAAUAAUCUGCUACUGAAGGGAAACAAAAGGGUAUUCAAAAUUGAUUAUUGAUGUUGAUUCAACCUAUUUGGUCUUUGCCUAAUUCCUCUUUUUUCUUUAUAUAAAUGGAGACAAGAGUGAUAAAAAUAAGUCAGGGGCAGCUAGUUCAAACUAUAUGACUCGAUUUAGAUGUUUGGUUUCUCAGUAGAAAGCUCGAGAAUAAACAAAUCCGUUCUCUAAGUUUCUCUUUUAGUGGUAUCCAAUUCAGUUUGCACACUUCCAGAACCAGUUACAUCACAGCACAAAGCAUGGAAAGCUUGGAUUAUCUUUAGAGCAUUCACCAAUUUGUUCUUAGGUUCAUUUGAUCUUUAAACAAAUAAUUGUUCAUGUCAAUGGAAUGUUUAUGAAUAAAGAUAAAUAAGAUGAAAAUGUUGCUAUUAAGAAGCCUAUGGCUUACUGAUGGGGCUAAAAUAAGCAUAGGAAUUUCUAUCAUUCCAAGUAGUCCGUAGCAAUGGAAGAUAUCAGUUAUAAAUAGGAUUGGGGGAAUCAGAUAAAUCUUAGAAGGGGAGAUUGAUUUGGUCUUGGAUUUUGAAAGACCAGUAAGAUUUCUACAGGGCUUAAAUCACACAGGUCUCUCAACUUAGAAUGGCUACCCUACAUCUUAUUAAAAUGUUGUUAAUAAUUACUUGAACAAGUACUAUUUGAACGCCUAUGAUAUUCUAUGAAAAAUUCUAUUAAUCCUUUACAGCUCAGUUAAUACUACCAUCUCACCUCAGCUUUAUAUGAGCAUCUCAGCAAAGAUUCCUUCCUUCUUUGUGUUUCUGGUCUACUUAAUUCAUGCUGAGUACUUUGCAUAAACCGCAUACAUAGAACUGUGUAUAUUUAUGUGUAUAUUCAUUUUCUCUAUUUGACUUAUAAGCACUUUGAAGAUGGAAAUGGCUUUGUAUGUUAUUUUAAUUUUGCCCAGCACUUAGUACAGAAUAGGAGUUUCAAAGACUUGAUUGAAUAAAAUGAACCAAGUAAUUAUCAAAUCUUCAUUUUUUGUAUGUGUGGGGAAAUUAUCUGUCUCUGUGUCAGUCAUUUGUGUCUUCUUCAUGACAAAUAAUACCACCAUGGUCAACCUACCACAAGCCAUGUUUCAGAUAGUUGAAAAUCAAAUGAUCAGUUAGACAGAGCUUGAAUUUACCUAUUGUCUGUAAUGUGUCCUGGGUACAACUUAGUUUAUUCUAAUACCUAGAAAGAGUUUGAACUUUCAUGUAAAACUAUUUUGUAAAGACAAUGAAAUGUAAUCUUUGUGGAAAAUUACAUAAAGAUAUAUAACUUUGAAUUCAUAGAGCUUCAGUUUUUUUGUCACAGUAUAUGCAUGUUAGCUCUUAAGAGCUUCUAAACUCAGAAAGCUUUGGAGAUUAAACACUGAAAGAUUUUGUGCAGAAGAAUGCUCAGGGGCUGAAAAAAUAAAGCACCUCAUCAUUUUUUACAUGUACCCAUCAGCUAAAGCCUUUCCUGUUGCCGUAUAAAAAUUACUGAGGUAAAUAGUCUGGCUUCCACUUUGUUCCCCAAUCUGCCAGCGGGGUUUAAACUCAGACUCUGAAGGAUGUAUGUGACAUACACUAUUUUAGUCUGUUGGAAUUGACUCUACCAACAUAUCUACCAUGAAAAUAAGAUAGCUUUAGUGACUAAGUCAGCUUUAUUGUCUCAGAGGCCAUUCAGGUACCAUUAAGCAUUCUGAAUAAUAAAGGCUAACAAAACUCAGAGUAUAUGCUGUCAUACUUAAGAAUCUUAAGAGGUAGUUACUUUUAGUAUCAAACAAAUGAGAAAAUUAAAGCUCAGAAUGUUUCUGUAAGUUGCCCAAGGUCAUGUAGUUGGUGAAUGGUGAAGCAAUUAUUUGAACUCAGGCAGUCUAACUCUAUGCCCACUAUAUUAAUCUCUAAGUUAUUUUGCCUGGUGGAAUUCCACCUCCAAAUUUUACAUGACACAUUAAGAAUACACCCAGUUUCCUCUGAUAAAAUAAACUAACCUUAGAAAUAGAUUCCAUCCUAGGUUAUAGAUUUUACUACAAGUUUGUUUUUGAACCUGCAUGAAAUAGAUCCUGGUAUAAUUGAGUGUUACAUAAAUAUCCCCUGAAUGAAAGUAUAAAUAAAUAGCAUACCCCUGUAGGGUUCCCUUCUUUGUUCAACUCUUCAUUGAAAUUUUCAUUAACUCCUCAGUUUGAUUCAGGGUAGUAUAUAGUCAGUGGAAUUUAAGUGAAUACUCCCCUCUUCUACUCAAAAGCUGACUGGGAAAGAAAAGCAUUUGGAUGUGAGUAUUAGCAGAGUAUUUCCCAUGCACUCUAUUACAUUUGUAAAAUUGCUAUUAAUUUUCCUCAAUCCACUGCCAUUUUAAGAGCUGCUGGGCUGUGAUUAUGUAGCAAUUUACUUGCUAACUUUGCCUUUUCCAUCAACAAUGUAGAUGCAUAAUUAAACUAUGUGCUCUGGGGAAAAGACACUUUUAAGUACAGAGGUAAAAGUAAGAUUUUUCUCAGAAAAGAGUACAAAAACCAAUUUAAAUACUAAGUUAAUGUCAGUAUAUUAAUAUCAGUAUGUACUUUGGCAAGAGUAUAUUUGAAUAAUUUGUCUCCAUGGUGCUUUUUAAUUUAUUGACAGCGUGUUGUUGAAGUCUAAUUGAUAAGGUUCUGAGCCAUGAGAUCUUAAUAUAUUACAUAAAAUAACUUAAAAAAUCAAUAAUCAUUUAAUUAUUUAGAUGUAGUGGUUAUAAAAGUGACAAAAAUCUCUCAUGACGAUUUGGAAGGAUGAUAUAUUACACACUGUAACAUAAUUUUUAGGUUUUUAAAGCUGUAGAUAAGACACAAUCAUUCUUAAUUUGCAGCAGGCACAGGAUGAGCAGAUGCAAAUUAAUCUGAAUUCCCUGGACGUCAUUUUGACACUAGUUUCUUUGUCAUUUCCCAUUCAUAAAUACAUGCAUCCUAUUACAUUUAUUUACAUUUAACUGCAGACUAGUAGAAAACCUAUUUAACAAAUAUGAUGCUAAGCUCUGACUGAUUAUUUGGCAGCAUAUAUCUCACAAGACAAACCCGCUAUUAGCUGUAAAUGUGAGGCACAGAGAGACCAAACACAUGCAAGAUGCCAUCCAUGACUCUUUUUCUAUGGCUUGGUUAUGUCACACAGAUCAUAGGCUGGAGGGAAGAUUUUCCCAUUUUCUUUCCCCUACCACUUUUUACACUGGCAACAUGGGUCAAUAUUGCUUUUCUUUGUAAGCCAAUUUACACUUUGAAAUGAAGUGAGCAUUCAGUAGGAAAAGAAGGUGAAAGUAUUCUGCUUUGUAGCAUCUGCCAGGACUAAUUUUUAAAUUUAUUUUGGCUGCUAUAACAAAGCUAUAGACUGGGUGGCUUAUAAACAACAUAAUUUUAUUUCUCACAGUUCUGGAGGCUUGGAAGUCCAAGAUCAAGAGGUGAACAGAUUUGGUGUCUGGUGGGGGCCUGCUUCCUGAUUCAUAGAUGGCACCAUCCAGCUGUGCCCUCACAUGGUGGAAGGAAUGAGGCUGCUCUCUGGAAUCUCUUUUAUAAGAUACUACCUGAGACUGCGUAAUUUAUAAACAACAACAAAAAAAUUGACUCACAGUUCCAUACCUCAGGAGACCUCAGGAAACUUACAAUCAUGGCAGAAGGUGAAGGAGAAGCAAGGUAUGUCCUAUAUGGCGGCGGGAGAGAGUGAGUGAAAGAGUGAGUGAAAUAGUGAGGAAAUGCCACACUUAAAACCAUCAGCUCUUGUGAGAACUCCCUCACUAUCACAAGGACAGCAUGGGGAAAACUGCCCCCAUGAACCAAUCACCUCCCAGCAGGUGCCUGUCUUGAUAUGUGGGGAUUAAAAUUCCAGAUGAGAUUUGGCUGGGGACACAGAGCCAAAUAAUAACAACUUCUCUUCAUAUCUUUAUUUCCACUGGGUAUGGUCAAAUAAUUAGUCAAAAUAAUGACAUUUAUUUGAAUGAGCUGUGCCAAUAUUCUUCUGUGUUGACCAUCACUUUACCAAUUACUCAUGGGAGUAUACAUACUCUAAAUCCCCUCUUUGCCUUGGGAAUUAUAACCUUGACUGCAGUCACUUGUGGAUCUUCCACUGAAAACCAGAAUAAUAGGGUUUGCAGAGUUCAUGCCUCUGAUGGUAUGAGCUAUAUGCAAUAUUUCAUACAGUUAAUCCAGCAAAUUACAUGCAUUGUAUAAUGUGGUUCUAAUGUCAACUUUCCA